UACGUAGGGUGCGAGCGUUGUCCGGAAUUCCUGGGCGUAAAGAGCUUGUAGGUGGUUUGUCGCGUUGUUCGUGAAAUCUCACGGCUUAACUGUGAGCGUGCGGGCGAUACGGGCAGACUAGAGUACUGCAGGGGAGACUGGAAUUCCUGGUGUAGCGGUGGAAUGCGCAGAUAUCAGGAGGAACACCGGUGGCGAAGGCGGGUCUCUGGGCAGUAACUGACGCUGAGAAGCGAAAGCGUGGGGAGCGAACAGG
rnacentral:rRNA from 1 species